UGGCAAUGAUGACAAAAAAAGGCCGGACUUACGGCUGCUGCCUCCGCCAUAGUCGGUCGGUAGUAGAAUGAUGAAUGUUUUUGCAGCAAAGGUUUUUAUCUGAGCCAC